rnacentral:rRNA from 1 species
GACGAACCGUACGAACGUUAUUCGGAAUUACUGGGCUUAAAGGGUGCGUAGGCUGUGCGGAAAGUUGGGCGUGAAAUACCUCAGCUUAACUGAGGAACUGCGUUCAAAACUACCGUGCUCGAGGGAGACAGAGGUAAGCGGAACUGAGGGUGGAGCGGUGAAAUGCGUUGAUAUCCUCAGGAACACCGGUGGCGAAAGCGGUUCUCUGGGCCUUACCUGACGCUGAGGAGCGAAAGCGUGGGGAGCGAACGG